rnacentral:rRNA from 1 species
GUGGGGAAUAUUGGACAAUGGGGGGAACCCUGAUCCAGCCAUGCCGCGUGUGUGAAGAAGGCCUUUUGGUUGUAAAGCACUUUAAGCGAGGAGGAGGCUACCGAGAUUAAUACUCUUGGAUAGUGGACGUUACUCGCAGAAUAAGCACCGGCUAACUCUGUGCCAGCAGCCGCGGUAAUACAGAGGGUGCAAGCGUUAAUCGGAUUUACUGGGCGUAAAGCGCGCGUAGGUGGCCAAUUAAGUCAAAUGUGAAAUCCCCGAGCUUAACUUGGGAAUUGCAUUCGAUACUGGUUGGCUAGAGUAUGGGAGAGGAUGGUAGAAUUCCAGGUGUAGCGGUGAAAUGCGUAGAGAUCUGGAGGAAUACCGAUGGCGAAGGCAGCCAUCUGGCCUAAUACUGACACUGAGGUGCGAAAGCAUGGGAGCAAACAGGAUUAGAUACCCGAGUAGUCC